AUUCGCACUCGCUAAAUUUGCAUUCGCACUCGCUAAAUUUGCAUUCGCACUCGCUAAAUUUCCACCACCCCCCUUAAUUUAGCGAGUGCGAAUGUAAAUUUAGCGAGUGCGAAUGCAAAUUUAGCGAGUGCGAAUGCAAAUUUAGCGAGUGCGAAU